ACUUGAGAAUAUUUUAUUCUUUUCUUUUACCCAAUUUGCUUCUUUUCAGCAUUGCCAGUAUUAUAGUGGAGUACAUUGAGUGUGACAGCGGAGCGUGCUUCAAGGAUCCACUGAGUUACAGCUGAUUAAAUUCCCUUAAUAAAGAAAUACGUAUAAAAUGUUAAAUACAUAAAGGAAUAUGUAUAUUCGAAGUCAUUUUCCAAUUGUUUCGAUGACUGUAACUGUGAGUUACACAGUUCUCUAUGAAACGUGAGACAAGUAACGAGAUACAUUUAAAUUAAUUUACUGAACACAGUUUUUAAAAUGAACUCUUUUUUAAUACUUGUAUUCGUAGUGUCGACAAUAACAACCGUCGUCAGUCAGGAUGAGAUGACAGUGAUUACUCCUAACGGACGUAACCCUUAUAAGACGUGGUCGCUGUUAGAUACCACUGGCAAGUGAUUCUUAAUAUGACGACAAUGUACAAUUAUUUGUCGACACUUUACAUAAAGGUAUAUUUUCAUUAGAAUUGAUCAUGUCUUUUCUCUUUCGGUCCUCGGCUUAACAAAAUGUUAGAUAUUCUAUUUCAAUAUAAAUAAAAUGAAUGUUCCUGUUUUGUG